rnacentral:rRNA from 1 species
UACGAGCGCACCCUUGUCCCUAGUUACCAGCACUUCGGGUGGGAACUCUAGGGAGACUGCCGGUGAUAAACCGGAGGAAGGUGGGGAUGACGUCAAGUCAUCAUGGCCCUUAUGGGCAGGGCUACACACGUGCUACAAUGGCCGGUACAGAGGGCUGCGAAGCCGCAAGGUGAAGCGAAUCUCAGAAAACCGGUCGUAGUCCGGAUUGCAGUCUGCAACUCGACUGCAUGAAGCCGGAAUCGCUAGUAAUCGCGGAUCAGAACGCCGCGGUGAAUACGUUCCCGGGCCUUGUACACACCGCCCGUCACACCAUGGGAGUGGGCUGUACCAGAAGUAGGUAGUCUAACCUUCGGGAGGACGCUUACCACGGUGUGGUUCAUGACUGGGGUGAAGUCGUAACAAGGUAGCCCUAGGGGAACCUGGGGCUGGAUCA